GAUGAACGCUGGCGGCGUGCUUAACACAUGCAAGUCGAACGAAGAUGCCGGAGUGCUUGCACUUUGGCAGACUGAGUGGCGGACGGGUGAGUAACGCGUGGGUAACCUGCCUUAUACAGGGGGAUAACAGUUGGAAACGACUGCUAAUACCGCAUAAGCGCACGGUAUCGCAUGAUACAGUGUGAAAAACUCCGGUGGUAUAAGAUGGACCCGCGUCUGAUUAGCUUGUUGGUGAGGUAACGGCCCACCAAGGCGACGAUCAGUAGCCGGCCUGAGAGGGUGAACGGCCACAUUGGGACUGAGACACGGGCCCAAAACUUCCCUAACGGGGAGGCAAG
rnacentral:rRNA from 1 species